CUCUUGCCUGCUGCCACGUAAGAGGUGACUUUGCUGCUCCUCUGCCUUCCACCAUGAUUGUGAGGCCUCCCCAGCCAUGUGGAACUAUCUUUGCAUGUUCUGUCCAGCAAGUUCUCUCUCCAUGAAGACCAUACCAUCUAAAGUGACCCCAUCUCAGUCUGUCUGUUGGUAGACCUCAUGCAAUCAAUUGAAGGCCUGAAUAAAACAAAAGACUGGCCUCCUCCCAAGCAAGAGUGAAAAUUUGACAUAUCCCCAGACUGGACUGAGUGAGCUGCUUUAGGAAGCUGUAUAUGUUUUUGGAAUUUAAUUCAAAUUUAAAUGAGGUUUCCUGCAUGUUUGGACAUUAUACCUCGGAGCCGUGGGUGCCAGAGCCCUGUCCUAUGAAUGUGUCUCUUCUGAAAAUUGCUCUAGGGAUUGGUUUUACUGAUUGGACAAAAAAUAAGUAUUUUGAACCAAUUAUAACAAAAUAGCUCAUUUCUCUUUUAUAUACAUCAUGCAAUGUCUUCACAAUCAGAUUAUGAGAUCUCUAAUUACAGAAGAGGAUUUUUAUAUUUUCCACUAGCAAACAUUUGUCCACAAAAGUUACGAAAAACAGCUGUUAUCUGGAAUGUGGCUUGAAAUAUAUCCUGUUACUCUAAAAUGGUAUUGAUAUGAUUUAUAGUUGUCCUAUUGCAGCGAUUUUAUAAGAACUCAAUCCACAGCUCUUCUAACAUGUUUUGACAGCUUUAUUGAGAUAGAAUUUACACAUUAAAAAACUGCAUGCAUUUAAUAUGUACAAUUUGAAUAUUUUUGGCAUAUCUAUGCCCAUAGGAAUUUAUCAUCUACAACCAAGAAAAUCAACAUCUCCAUCAGUCCCCUAAAUUUUCUUCUGUCCCUAUGUAAUCCCUCUUCCUACCUGCCAUCACUAGGUGGUAUGGGCUAAAUUGUGCACUGCCCAUCCCCUCCCCUCCCAUUUUAUAUGUUGAAGUCCUAAUCCCUAGCACCUCAAAACAUGACUGUGUUUGGAGACAGGCCUUCAAAGAAGUGACUAAGCUACAACAAGGCUGUUAGGAUGAACCCUAAUCUGAUCUGACUGGUGUUCCUAUAAGAAAAGAAAAUUAAGACACACAAAGAGAUACCAGGGUAUAUUUACACAUAGAGGAGACCGCGUGAGGUACAAAGAGAGAAGGCAGCCAUCUGCAAGCUAACGAAAGAAAUCUCAGAAUGAAAUCAACCAGCCAACACCUGAUUUCAGACUUCUAGCCUCUGAAACUGAGAGAAAAUAUCUGUUGUUUAAACCAUCAGUCUGUGGUACUUUCUUAGAGCAGCCCUAGCAAACUAUCAUACCAGGCAACCACUGACUAGCCUUCUGUCACUAUAGAUUAGAUUGUAUUUUCUGGAAUUUUAUAUAAAUGUACUCUUUUGGUCUGGCUUAUUUCAUUCAGUAUAAGUUAUUUGAGAUCCAUCCAUGUUGGGUUGUAUCAAUAAUUCAUUCCUUUUUAUUAUUAAUAUUUUGUUGAAUGGAUAUACCACAGUUUAUUCAUCCAUUUAUUUGUUGCUGGACAUUUAGGUUGUUUUCUGGUUGAACUGUUACAAAUCAAGCUUCUAUGGACAUUUAUUUACAAGUCUUUUAUGGAUAUGUGCUUUCUUUGAUCUUGGGUAAAUAUCCAAGGUUGGAAUGGCUGGGUCAUAUGAUAGGAGUAUGUUAAGCUCUUUAACAAACUGCUAAACUAUUUUCCAAAAUUGUACCAUUUUACAUUCCCACCAGCAGUCUUUGAGAGCUCCAGUUGCUCCGUAUCUUUGCCUAAAACUAAUAUGGUCCGUCUUUUUUAAUGUAAUUGUUCUAAUAGGUAUAUAACAGUAUGCUAUUGUGCUUUUUAAAUUUGCAUUGUAUUAUGACAGUGGUAUUGAUGAUCAUCUUUUCAUUGCUUAUUUACCAAAGUACAUCUUUUUUGGUAAAGUGUUUACAUUUUUGCAUUCUUUUUUGAGUUGUUUUUUUAUUACUGAGUUUUGGAGUUUUUAAAUAUAUUCUGAACCCAAGUUCUUAAUCAAAUAAAUGACUUGAAAAUAUACUCAGUCUGUCUUUUUAUUCUCUCACUAGAGUCUUUUAUAGAAUAGACAUUUUUCAUUUUAAUUAAGUCUAUUUAUCAAUUUAUUAUUUUAUGGAUCAUUUGGUAUUGCAUUUGGAAAAAUCUUUGCCUAACCGAAGGUCAAAAUUCUUCUCUUAAAUUUUCUUCUAGAAUUUUUAAAGUUUUAAGAUUUAAAUUUAGGUUUAUAAUCCAUUUUGAAUUGGUGUUUUUGUACUACUUUUUUUUCCUUCGCCUCUAUAUGUAGAAUCAAUUAAGGUAAUAAUAGUUUCUAUCUUAAAUGUCCUGCUAACACACUUACCUAUUUCAAUACUCAUUCUACCUUCCCAUCUCCCUGCAUUUUGGUUUUUUUUUUUUUUACAUCCUUUCACCCAGGCUUUAGCUCCCAUCUCCUUCUAAGUCCUCACGCCCUUGCUGUGUCUAUGAUACUAAUGUGAUUCAGACCAUUUCUCUCCCAGUUUCUUUCCUUCAUAUAUAUAUGCAAUUUUAAGUAUUUCUUAUUUAAAAUAAUAAUAAUAAUAAUAAUAAUGCUUUUUGAAGCUGCAUAGCUAACUACAUAACAUUUACUUGCUUUGUUCUUUUCCUAUAAAACUAUUCUCUUGAAAGAAUUACCUAUUCUCUCAUUCCUCUCUCCUCCAACCAACACUGCCAGGUUUCUGGCCCAGUCAUCGCACUGACACUAUUCUUACCAUCAACACUUGUGAUUUCCCUUUGCCACUUAUACAGAUCUCAUUUCAGCAUCCAUCACACAGGUCUCCCUGGGAGGCAUUUACACUGUGGAUCUCUGUACUGGAAGGCAUUUCCAAAGCUUGUCUGAGUCUUCCACAUUGUCUCUCCUCUUUCUCUCUGUUACUUGAGACAUGUUUUCUCCAUAUUUUCUCUUCUCAUUCUAUACAUUCCACUGGUGACCACACAGAAAAUCAAGGAAUCAAAUGCCACCUUUAAAAAAUGAAUCUCCUAAGUAGAUUUCUGGUCCAGACUUAUUUACCCAGACCAUCAACUUUCUGUUGUAUAUUUCCAAUAGCAAUGUCAAGUGCAAUACGUGACAAACAUAAUGCCAUUCUUCUUUCACCUAAACACAGGGCUCUUUCAUACUUCCUGUGGGGGUAGAUAGCACAUCAUUAACCCUGUCACCUAACCACUGUCCCCUCCAUUCCCAAUGAAAAAUAACCCAGAUAUUUCAGUUACAUCUCCUACAUAUGUCUCCAAUCUAUGCUUUCUCUUCAUAUCCACUGCUUCUCUCCUUAGUAUAUCUCAUCUAAAAUUCUGGAAUAGACUUUAUCUGCAGAUGGACCUGCAGAUUCUAAUUCUUACCCUCUCAACAUUCGACUUGUAUAUUGAUGCAUGAGUAAAGUUUCUGAAACACAAAUAUGUUUAGGGGAACCCCAUGUAGAUCAUAUAUUUAGGCAUCUCUAAUACAGAAAAAAUUGAACCCAUUCUCAUGUAAUAUUCAGAUUGUCAGUCUUUCUCUCACAUCUCAUCACUAACAACUGCUCUACACAAAAUCUGAGAUCUAGCAAUAGCUAGCUUCAUAUAGUUUCCUGAGCACGGAAUAUUGAUACAACUUCCAGGCCUCAGAUGAGUGGACAAAAUUAAACUCACAAGGCAGUAAUGGCAUUCAAUCCCUGAAAAUUUCGCUGCUCUUUCUAAAAAGGUAAAAUAUAUUCUGCCUAUUAUAAAGUAAAUGCUGAUCUUCCUAUUUUGUUUCUUUUCCUUUAUGCUAAUGGAAAAUAACUUUAUGAUUUAAAAUAUAAUUUAUUGUACUUAUAAUAAUUUGUUUUGACUUGAUGGUUAAUGCUUGGGCAUAACUUAAAAUUAAAAUAAAAUGUAUAAAUGUAAAAGAA